UAAAGUGGGGAAAUGUUCCAUGUGAACAACACUUGGACAUGGGUUAGUGGAUCCUAAGAUAUGGGGAAGCCCUAUAUCAAGGGUGUAAUCUGCACGAACAUUGAAAGGGAAUCUGGUUAAUAUUAUUGAACUGGAACAUGGGGGUGGAUGACAACAUUAGGAAAUUCAGACAUGUCAUCGGGGGCCUCGAGAAGAGUUAUCUUUUCUUUUUAAUGGCUUGCCCACCCUGAAAUUGGUUCAACCAUAGAUAGCGUCCAGUAGAUGGAAGAGAACCACCCGUCUUGUGGUGUCUGGUGCCCCCUUAAUGACCAUUGAAAAUGUGGAGGAUCGAGUAUUGCCCAUGCCUGGUCAUACUCAUAACCACAUAAGGUCUCCAAGGUGAACAACCUCUGGUC
rnacentral:ncRNA from 1 species